rnacentral:rRNA from 1 species
UACGAAGGGUGCAAACGUUGCUCGGAAUUAUUGGGCGUAAAGCGCACGUAGGCGGCUUUGCAAGUCAGAGGUGAAAGCCCGGGGCUCAACCCCGGAAUUGCCUUUGAGACUGCAUCGCUAGAAUUGUGGAGAGGUAAGUGGAAUUCCGAGUGUAGAGGUGAAAUUCGUAGAUAUUCGGAAGAACACCAGUGGCGAAGGCGACUUACUGGACACAUAUUGACGCUGAGGUGCGAAAGCGUGGGGAGCAAACAGG